rnacentral:rRNA from 1 species
UGGUGAAGAAGGAUAGAGGUAGUAACUGGCCUUUAUUUGACGGUAAUCAACCAGAAAGUCACGGCUAACUACGUGCCAGCAGCCGCGGUAAUACGUAGGUGGCAAGCGUUGUCCGGAUUUAUUGGGCGUAAAGGGAACGCAGGCGGUUUUUUAAGUCUGAUGUGAAAGCCCUCGGCUUAACCGAGGAACUGCAUCGGAAACUGUUUUUCUUGAGUGCAGAAGAGGAGAGUGGAACUCCAUGUGUAGCGGUGGAAUGCGUAGAUAUAUGGAAGAACACCAGUGGCGAAGGCGGCUCUCUGGUCUGCAACUGACGCUGAGGCUCGAAAGCAUGGGUAGCGAACAGGAUUAGAU